UGGACCUUUAGCUCAGUUGGUUAGAGCAUCCGGCUCAUAACCGGACGGUCAUUGGUUCAAGUCCAAUAAGGUCCACCAU
rnacentral:tRNA from 1 species